GAGUUUGAUCCUGGCUCAAAACGAACGCUGGCGGCAGGCCUAACACAUGCAAGUCGAACGAGAUGCUUGGCUUCGGUCAAGCGGAAAGUGGCAGACGGGUGAGUAACGCGUGGGAAUCUACCCUAAGGUGAGGAAUAACUCGCGGAAACGUGGGCUAAUGCCUCAUGAUCCCGCCUCGGCGGGCAAAGAUUUAUCGCCUUAGGCAGGGCCCGCGUUGGAUUAGCUCGUUGGUGAGGUCACGGCUCACCAAGGCGAUGAUCCAUAGCUGGUUUGAGAGGAUGAUCAGCCACACUGGGACUGAGACACGGCCCAGACUCCUACGGGAGGCAGCAGUGGGGAAUCUUGCGCAAUGGGCGAAAGCCUGACGCAGCCAUGCCGCGUGAGUGAAGAAGGCCCUAGGGUUGUAAAGCUCUUUCCCUCGUGAAGAUAAUGACGGUAGCGAGACAAGAAGCUCCGGCCAACUCCGUGCCAGCAGCCGCGGUAAGACGGAGGGGGCAAGCGUUGUUCGGAAUUACUGGGCGUAAAGCGCGCGUAGGCGGAUCGAUCAGUUGGGGGUGAAAGCCCGAAGCUCAACUUCGGAACUGCCCUCAAUACUGUCGACCUAGAGUGCGAAAGAGGUGAGCGGAAUUUCCAAUGUAGAGGUGGAAUUCGUAGAUAUUGGAAAGAACACCAGAGGCGAAGGCGGCUCACUGGGUCGCACCUGACGCUGAGGCGCGAAAGUGUGGGGAGCGAACAGGAUUAGAUACCCUGGUAGUC
rnacentral:rRNA from 1 species